rnacentral:rRNA from 1 species
CCUACGGGUGGCAGCAGUGAGGAAUAUUGGUCAAUGGGCGCGAGCCUGAACCAGCCAAGUCGCGUGAAGGAUGACUGCCCUACGGGUUGUAAACUUCUUUUAUAAAGGAAUAAAGUGAGGCACGAGUACCUUUUUGUAUGUACUUUAUGAAUAAGGAUCGGCUAACUCCGUGACAGCAGCCGCGGUAAUCCGGAGGCUCCGUGCGUUAUCCGGAUUUAUUGGGUGUAAGGGGAGCGUAGAUGGUGUGUUAAGUCAUUUGUGAACGCGUGCGGCUCAACCGUAAAAUUGCAAUUGAUACUGGGAGUCUUGAGUACAGGUGGGGUAGGCGGAAUUCGUGGUGUAGCAGUGAAAUGCGUAGAUAUCGCGAAGAACUCUGAUUGCGAAGGCAGGUUACUAAACUGCCACUGACAUGGAGGCACGAAAGUGAGGGUAUCAAACAGGAUUAGAUACCCGAGUAGUC